GUGGCUGUGGCUCAGCUGGUAGAGCACUGGGUUGUGGUCCCGGGGGUCGCGGGUUCGAGUCCCGUCAGUCACCC
rnacentral:tRNA from 1 species